AAAGAAUGGAAGAGAGACUCCAGAGCUUGCUGAAGCAGAAGGAGCUGGUCACACAGCAAAAACACCUGGCAAUAAAGCUGCAGCAUCAUUUGACUGUCUCCCAGAUGAGGUCAGAAAAUCUCCAACAUGAGCUGGAACAAUCCACAGAUCAGGAUGAGAGCUUCCUGCCGACAGAGCUGCUGCAGCAGGAGCACUAAGUGUCAUAAGCAACACCCUUUAUGAGAACUGAGGAGGCUGAAGGAAUCCAUAGUCAACUAGAAACCCUGACAUUCUCCACUCUAUGAUCAAGGCCUCCUCAGAACAAGACAUGUACUACUAGUUGUGAA